rnacentral:rRNA from 1 species
GAUUUCUGGUUUGGUGCGCCUGGCCCACUGCCUUCAGGUAUGUGAGUGCCGGUGCGCGCCUGCCAUCCCUUCUAGAGAACGGCUCUGCCCUUCACUGGUGUCGGAGUCGCGAUCUAGAUCUUUUACUUUGAAAAAAUUAGAGUGUUUAAAGCAGGCUUGCGCUAUGAAUACAUUAGCAUGGAAUAAUAAUUUAGGACUUCGGUUCUAUUUUGUUGGUUUCUAGGACUGAAGUAAUGAUUGAUAGGGAUAGUUGGGGGUGCUAGUAUUCAGCGGCCAGAGGUGAAAUUCUCGGAUUCGCUGAAGACUAACUUAUGCGAAAGCAUU